rnacentral:lncRNA from 7 species
GAAAUAAAAAAUGGGAUAAUAAAUAAAACUAGAUAGAAUUAAUAUUCAUAAAAGGAUUUAGGAUGAUAUAUUUUCUUCCCUUAAAAUAGUGCCCUUUUUGUGUAUAUGAGUUUCAUAUUAAGAAAACAUUUGUUGAAUAGAUAAAACAAGAUAAUAAAUAAAUAAAAGUAAAAAAUUUGUAUUAGCAUGCUAGAUUUUCAUGGUUGCGCAUUCUGAAUUCAAGCUUUAUUUGAACUUGCUUUUAAAUUUGGGAAUGGAAUUAGGAAAAAAAUAGAAUAAAAAAUGAGAAGAACUCCUCCCUGGCUCUCGGGCCUAAUGUCCUUGCGGACGGCCCACUUUCCCCUUUUCCCCGUGCUCCUGCCGGCCCAAACAGACGCUGCGCGCCAGCCCUUCUCCUCACCUCUUCCUUGGCGUCUAUGACAUGUGGGCCCGCAGGGUCAGGGACCCCCUUCUUCCUCCGGUGGUUGGGAUACGCCGCCGCGGCCGCCGGAUCCGAUGGAGCUCCCCUCUGUAGGUUGUUGCUCCGGCCGAGAUCCUCACGGGACUACCUAUAAAACCCGGCCACCUCCUCUCGUCCAGGGCAUCGGCUUAAGCAGAGGGCCCAUGCGCCAAGCUGAAACAGGGAAGAGAAACUGGCGCCACCGCGCUAGGAACCCCAGACAAUGCUCUUCGGGUCCCUGUGCGUGAUCAGGGCGCUCGCUGGUGCAUACCAUGGGCUUCCAGGUCCUUGUCGUGUAUGGGCAAAGUCUAGGGAAUGGAGAAUUGCUCGUCGGCGUUCUAUCCUCCGCCGCGGGCCGCGCUGUUCGUGGCCGAGUGCUUUCCAUGCCGCGACAACCGCGCGAGGU